rnacentral:lncRNA from 1 species
UCGUUCAUUCUUCUGCUCUCUUUUCCCAGAGCAAGGGACUGCGUCACCGUUAUUCUCAGGAGUGUGCAUGCUACUUCUCCAGAUGCUGCAGACUGUCAUAUACUUCCUGAUAUAAAGAGGCUCACAUUUAUUGUGCUUACCUUUUCUUGAGGCAGAUUUUUGUAUUCUCUUCUUCUUGUCACAUUCCUCCUCUUUUCACUCUCUUGUCUCAGAUUUCAACUCUCUCCCAUCUUACUGGAAUCGUGUGCUGGCUGGUUUUCUCAGUUCUCUCUAAGAACUUUGCAUCCGAUAUAUGUCUCAUUCCCCAAGUUCCUUCACACUCUGCCCAGGCCAGACUGCACUUAGUUCCUGUGUACCUGGUUCUUGCCUCCGACAAGAACAUAAACAACACAUUCUCUAAUUUACCCUGAGCUCCCUUCGUAGGAGCUACAGAGUUCUAAGAAGUUCUUGGAUUGGGAUCUGAAAUGGAAUCCUCCUUCUCUAUGACUCCUCUCCAUAGCUGAUUUGAUGGAUGCAAUGUUUAAUCAUACAUCUUCCUGCCAAAGAAGCUGAUAACUGCUCUGGAAAUUACCCACUGUACUUCGUUUAUCUACUCAGCCAUAUUUCAAGCUCAGGAUUGAGUGUCUAGGGUCCCUUUAGAAAUGGAAAACACUCUGCUUUCCCAUCAUGUAAACAGAAUGAGAAAAGUUUGGAUUCUGGAGUUCCCAUUGUGGCUCAGCUGUUAAUGAACCCGACCGUCCAUGAGGACACAGGUUAGAUCCCUGGCUUUGCUCAGUGGGUUGAGGAUCCGGCGCUGCCAUGAGCUGUGGUGUAGGUCGCAGGUGCGGCUUGGAUCCUGUAUUGCUGUGGCUGUAGUGUAGGCUGGCAGCUGUAGUGACCCCUAGCCUGAGAACCUCCAUAUGUUGCAGGUACGGCCCUAAAAAGCAGAAAUAAAUAAAUAAAUAAUAAAUAAAUGAAUAAAUAAAUAAAAAAGGUUGGAUUCUAUCCUUCAUCAGGCUUUGCCAAGUGACCCCAGUUAUAACAUCUCAGGGGGGACCUGUACCUUUCCUUCAAAACCCUCCUCACAGUUACCAUCGAUUAUUUGAGUGAUUAAUUGCUGAACAUCUGAAUUCUUACAUGGACACUUACCAUCACCCUCCAGUUUGCUCUUAUUACCCAAAAUAUGAACCACAGGCAAUAGUUUCACAAUCAUCACUGAGUAUUCAGCAGUUUAUGGAGAGCUAACAUUUUUACUUGUAGCAAAGUAAACAGGAAUGAGGAUGCAGUUGUAGGCAUGCGUUCUGAAUGCAGAUGGGGUGAAAGGCCAUAGGCACUGCAGAAAGCAAAUGAAGGAGCUUCUGCUUGGGCUGCAGAGUCAUGGCUAAAGAUUACAAACAUCCUCGCUCAUGCCAGAGACUCCUGGGCAACAGGGCCACAGGAGACAACUCGGUGGAAAAGGCUGCUUGGCUUCAACUCUAAUAACCUGAACAGAUGCAGGGCAAUUAGUCCCAGGCUGUGGCCUCCAGGGCACGUUUUUUGUCACCUUGCAACAGACGUGCUUUCCUCUAAUGGUCCAGGGCAACCUCACAACCGUUCCGCCAUCCUCGCUUCCCCAUCCCCCAGGAAGAAUCAAGUUUCUUUCCUCCUGCUGCAAACUAUAAUGCAUUAAACAACUCUUCCUCUGACCAUUUAGCAAUGUUCUGUUCUUACACUAUGGAAGCUGCAAGUCGAACAAGUAAUCCUGAAUUCGAAUCCUAACUUUUCCCUUGGGAAAGUCACAUUUCUGGGCCUGUUUCUUCAGCUCUUAAAUAAGGAGACUAUAUGCUUCAAGAUUUAGUUUGGUUUUACUUUUACGUACGGUAGCCCAUCUAGGACAAAGCUUUUCAAGCUGAGGGUCAGAACUUACUAGUGGGUCUGGAAUAUAUCAGAGUACAUUGAACAGAAUAAGAAUACUGUUUAUGAAACUUGUGUCUCUGCGUGCAUCUAUAAGUUGGAUGUCAAACACAUUUUUUAUUGUGGACAGAAGUAAAAAAAAAAAAAUUUAAACUUUGCCCUACAAGUAACAGAGGGACAGAAAUUAGAUUACUGGUUGUCUAGGGCUGAGGGUAGGAAUGGGGAGGGGCUAUAAAGGGACUGAAGGUUUCUUUUUAGGGUGAUGAAGGUUCUAAAAUUAUUUGUGGUGGUAGCUGUACAACUCUGUAUUCUAAAAUUAAUUAAAUUGUAAGCUGAAAAUGGAAUUUUAUAGUACUUAAAUUAUAUCUCAACAAACUUAUUUAAAAAUAAAACAAAACAUUGCUCUGUGAGCCAUGGAUUUGCUUCCAGACAUCUAUGGACCUUCCAGCAUUACAGCAUGAAUUUUAUCUUUCUAAGGAGAGGAAAUGUAGCUUUUAUCAGAUGAUCAAAUGAAUUCAAGAUUCAUAGCACUUUUAGAAUCAGUUAAUCAAACUAUCCCUCAAGCACUAAAAUCCUAUGAUUCUAAAAUCUUAAAAUCUAUUUUAACUUUAGUUCAUCAGAAUUUCAUUGACAAAGUUUUGCCUCCAAAGCAUUUCCAAGAGCCUUUUUAUUUAUCCAAUCAUCCAAGUGAAUUAGAUAACACUAUUAAAAUAGUUUUUAAAAUAAAUUAUUGUGUAAAUGUGAAGUAUUAUUAAUAACCUAUUAGGAAUUAUUAUUUUAUUGUAUUUGAUAUAUUUUAUUAUAUCUAUCUGCAUUUGGUAUAUAGUGACAAUGUUUUCAAUCAUAGCUGUACCUUCAAUUCAUAUGCUUACUGAAUAUUGCAAUGGUAUUUUUAUUUCCAUUUUUUUUCUCUUAUUGAUCUAUAAUGACAAGGCUGGUGAAGCUCACAGAUCCUCCAUAAUCUGUUCACUGGUGUGCAAAUGCUUUGGUACUAAAGGAAACCAGAACGUGUCACCCUGGAACAUGUCACUUUGGCAUACUGAUUUUUCUUUUGGCCACACCUGUGGCAUGCAGGAGUUCCUGGGCCAGGGACUGAACCCGUGCCACAGCAGUGACCUGAGCCAUAGCAAUGACAACAUCAGAUCUUUAAACCACUGAGCCAUCACAGAACUUCUGGCAUACUGAUUUUUUUUUAAAUUAAAGGUACUUAGGAAAUAGCAGGUACAAGAAAGACACUCUCCUUUCCCUUUCUGAAACUUCCAUGUUCAAAGGUGCCCUCUCUGUACCAGGAGGAAAGGAGACAUUUUAUCAGCCCAGAAACGGCACCAGAGGAAUCAGCAAACAAAUCUCACUCCACUCGUUUCCUCCUGAUAUUUACCUUUCCACAGUCUGCACCCUUGGAAGCCUAAACCUGCUUUCCUUUGGCCUGUGUACAGGACUCUACACAUUUCUUGUUCUUGGUUGAAGAUGCUCUAGAAGCUGGAAUUCUGAGCCACCCUUUUGAAUGACUUUUGGUUUAGGUUUCUCCCCACAAUGUGGGCUGGACACAUAAAUAAAGUGCUUUUUCUCUUGUUCAUCCAUCUUUUCGUUAGGGUCCCAGCGGAAAACCUACAAUGGGUAGAGGUAAUGGUUUGCCUCUCUGAUAGAACCAAAACUAAAGAGGAGUCAAGAGAUAGAAAGGCACCCAAAAUAGGGCUGUUUCUAUACCUCUAAGAGAAAGACACACUAGGGAUUUUUAAGUGGAAGUGGCAGUGUGGAGACAGGAAAAAGCAUUUCUGAGUCAUGUUGCUUAGACUGUUGUGUACAGGUCAGGAACUGUCAGCCAACUGCACUUCCUAGGUUAUGAGUUCCUUGAUGGCAAAAAAAAUUCUAAUUUAUCUAAUGAUGCUUAAAACUGGGCUUUAUACACAGGAAGUAUUGUUUGUUAAAUUGCAAUGUUUGUCAGAAUGCCCAAUGGUUGAUAAUAAACUAAGACCUAGAUGUAACCUAAGUGCCCAUCAAGAGGGGACUGGUUGCAGCAGAAACGGGCACAACAUUGUAAAUCAACUAUACAUUUUAAUUUUAAAAAAGAGGGGAUUGGCUAAAGUGAUACUUUCAAACUCAUAAUAAUGAAGUUUGUUCACAUGUGCUAUUAUAAAAUGAUCUCCAGAGUAUACUAUUAAGUGAAAAAAAUAACAUGUAGAAUAUCCCAAAUGAUAUACAAAGUAAACAUGGAGAUCUUACAUAUACUAUUUGGAAGGCUACAGGAGUCUAUUGAUGGGGAAUGCUUCUAGGGUACAGGCCCAAGUGUUACAGGUGGAUAGAGAAUUGUUUUUUACUGUAUAAUUUUUAUCCUUUUUGGAUCUUUUAAUUUAUGAAAUCAUUCAUUCUUUCAUUUAAAAUCUUUUAAGAGGAGCAUUAUGGGAAACAAUUCGGUAUCACCAUGUGUUCAGUUCUUUCACACACCUUACCACAUUUAAUGUAAACAACACCUCAUCUUAUGGAUGAGGAAACCGAGGUUCAGAGGCUGCAAAUAACUUGCACAAUGUCACACAGCUUAACAGGAAAUAGCCUAUCCAGCACUGGACUCAAAUCCUUAAGCUCCACAGUCAAUGAUGCUUUUCUCACAAUUCUUCAAGACUAAGUGCAUAUGGAUACAAAUCCAUGGUACAUCUUAACAUCGUUCUGUCUGUUUAAUUCACUGCUCAAGAAUGUUGCUUCUACUACAGAGGUCAGGCUGAGCUUAAAAUCACUGCACAGGAGUUCCCGUCGUGGCGCAGUGGUUAACGAAUCCGACUAGGAACCAUGAGGUUGCGGGUUCGGUCCCUGCCCUUGCUCAGUGGGUUAACGAUCCGGCGUUGCCGUGAGCUGUGGUGUAGGUUGCAGAUGCGGCUCGGAUCCUGCGUUGCUGUGGCUCUGGGGUAGGCUGGGGGCUACAGUUCCGAUUAGACCCCUAGCCUGGGAACCUCCAUAUGCCGCGGGAGCGGCCCAAGAAAUAGCAACAACAACAACAACAAAAGACAAAAAGACAAAAAAAGACAAAAAAAAAAAAAAAAAAAAAAAAAAAAAAAAUCACUGCACAGUAUUUUCCAUAAACCUCUUCCUCUUUCUAGCACUUCUAAGUCUUUCCUGGGGGACUCAAGUUCUUCCUUUAGUCAGCUCUUAUCCCUUGCUUUAACAACGUGGGUCACAUCUUUAUAUCCACCCCCAUUUCCAGUUUCUACAUUAUUUCUAUUGCCCCAGCUCUAACAAGGUCCUGAACCCCUGAUCUGCCAUCUCAGCUCACCCAUGCUACAUUCACUCUUCCUCGCCAGUAUUUGUCUUUUUACCCUGAACUCUAACUUCAAAAUAGUUCCACUUCUUUUUUCUAAAUACUACAUUAUCUGUCCCUUAUUCGAUAUAACUUCCCAUACUCCAACUUUUGUUUUGUUUUGGGGCCUCGUCUGUGACACAUGGAAGUUCCCGGGCCAGGGAUCAAACGCCUGACAUAGCAGUGACCCAAGGCCACAGCAGUGACAACGCCAGAUUUUUAACCCCUCAGACACCAGGAAACUCCUCCGAAAGUGUAUUUUUUCCAAUCACAUUUUUAAAUCCCUGAAAUAAUUGACCUCUGAGUCAAAGAAUUCUUUAUCUUCCACUGAUCUCGGCUAUUUUUAUUUUUUAUGCC